rnacentral:rRNA from 1 species
UACAGAGGCCCCAAGCGUUACUGAGAAUCACUGGGUUUAAAGGGUGCGUAGGUGGCGCGUUAAGUCCGUUGUGAAAUCCCUGGGCUCAACCCAGGAAUUGCUUCGGAUACUGGCGUGCUUGAGGCUAGUAGGGGUCACUGGAACUGACGGUGGAGCGGUGAAAUGCGUAGAUAUCGGAAGGAACAUCAGUGGCGAAGGCGACCUCCUGGACCAAUACUGACACUCAAGUGCGAAAGCGUGGGGAGCAAACAGG